GUGGGGAAUCUUCCGCAAUGGACGAAAGUCUGACGGAGCGACGCCGCGUGAGUGAAGAAGGCCUUCGGGUCGUAAAGCUCUGUCAUCAGGGACGAACGGCCGGUGGAGUGGAAAGCCACCGGAUUGACGGUACCUGAGAAGGAAGCCACGGCUAACUACGUGCCAGCAGCCGCGGUAAAACGUAGGAGGCGAGCGUUAUCCGGAUUUAUUGGGCGUAAAGCGCGUGCAGGUGGUAUCGUAAGUCGGAUGUGAAAGCCUCUGGCUCAACUGGAGGAUGUCGUUCGAUACUGUGGAACUUGAGGUCGGGAGAGGGAAGCGGAAUUCCCGGUGUAGUGGUGGAAUGCGUAGAUAUCGGGAGGGACACCAGUGGCGAAGGCGGCUUCCUGGCCCGCACCUGACACUAAGACGCGAAAGCGUGGGGAGCGAACGGGAUUAGAUACCCCGGUAGUCC
rnacentral:rRNA from 1 species